CCUCCAGGAUACAUUCUGUGCUUUAAACAAUUGGAGAGGACUUACUGUACCGAGCGCUGUCGCUUGCCUCUCUAUGUUGAAGAUUGACGUCCGUCGCCUUGUUCUAGGUUGAAAGGACGCCGAUAUAUUUGGACUAGUCUGGAUCCUUGAAAACGUUGCUCUCCUCUUUUCUAUUGAUGCGGAUGAUGGUAUUUGAUUUGCUUGAUGACCCAACGAACCAGCAGUGGGAUGUUUUUCCACGGCGCCGAUCUUCAGGAAAACGGAGUAAAACGCGAACGCGAUCAACUGAACGCGAAAGACCCGCUAUUCCCGGAUAG